rnacentral:misc_RNA from 1 species
GUGAAUCAUCGAAUUUUUGAACGCAAAUUGCACUCUUCGGUUUUCCGGGAGAGAAUGCCUGUUUGAAGGUCUGUAUAAAAAAUAAUCGAGGCUGCUACUGUGGUGGCUCUUAGGAAUUGGGUCAUCUUUCACCUUUCGGUUGUAAGCGACCUAAAAUUUUUUUUAAGAUUUUUACGAACGUGC